rnacentral:lncRNA from 1 species
CAAUUCCAGAGGGUCAGCAAGCCUUCUGAUACAGAUGUCAGGGUUGAGAUAUCUGAUGCUGAAUCUGAACUGUAAAACUCUACUCUCUGGCUCUCCAAAUGUGGCACCUCAGGCAGGCACUGAACUCCUCCGUUGGGCGUGUUGUGCUGCUGGAAAGUGGUUUUUGCUGCUGAAAGUGGAGACACAAUCCUCAAAGCAGUGCCCAUGUGCACCUGGAAUUGUAAGUGGAGACAACGCCUCAGUUCUAACUUACUCUGUAUUUAG